CAGUAGCCGCGGUAAUACGAAGGGGGCUAGCGUUGUUCGGAAUCACUGGGCGUAAAGGGUGCGUAGGCGGAUUCUUAAGUCAGGGGUGAAAUCCCGAGGCUCAACCUCGGAACUGCCUUUGAUACUGGGGAUCUUGAGUCCGGAAGAGGUGAGUGGAACUGCGAGUGUAGAGGUGAAAUUCGUAGAUAUUCGCAAGAACACCGGUGGCGAAGGCGGCUCACUGGUCCGGAACUGAUGCUGAGGCACGACAGCGUGGGGAGCAAACAGGAUUAGAUACCCCCGUAGUCCCUGUCUCUUAUAC
rnacentral:rRNA from 1 species